rnacentral:sRNA from 1 species
GGAUGUGAGGGCGAUCUGGCUGCGACAUCUGUCACCCCAUUGAUCGCCAGGGUUGAUUCGGCUGAUCUGGCUGGCUAGGCAGGUGUCCCCUUCCUCCCUCACCGCUCCAUGUGCGUCCCUCCCGAAGCUGCACGUUCGGUCGAAGAGGAUGACCAUCCCCAAUAGAGGAGGACCGUUCUUCGGUCAAGGGUAUACGAGUAGCUGCGCUCCCCUGCUAGAACCUCCAAACAAGCUCUCAUCCACAGUGGAGCUCUUGAUUAGCUCCCUU